UAGGGCCAGAAGGAAGUGCUGGGUUUUGCAAAUAGGGAUUUAGCUCUUUGACCUGUAACAAGAGACCUCCAUGGGCUGCUGAGCCCAGCCCCAGAGAGAAGGCCAGGAAUGCUGGGCAGGGUUGAGUGGACCAUGGCUGAAAGCUGAAACUACCUCUGUGGCACACCGGUGCUAAAGGCAGGUGAGACCCAACCCAGGUAUGUGGCCUCCCCAAAGCCUGCCCGGAAGACUGGACCCAGGGGGAAGCUGGUUCCCCGCUUCGGCCCAGUUCAGUGUGGCAUCCUAGCUGCAGACCCACUCAUGCUCAGAGAGCAUCUAGAAGGCAUCGCUUACUCACUCGGUGCCCUGGUACACUCCCACGGAGAUGUUGAGCCCCUCCAGCUCCUCCUUCAGCAUCUGCAGGUCUGAGUUGACAAAGCUCAGCUCCAGGCGAACCUGUUCCCGCACCUUCUGGUUUGUGGCGACCCUGGGGGGAGGGGGGGGAGUUGGGGGAGAGGGAAGAGGAGGAGAAGAGAGAGAGGGAGAGAGAAUGAAUGAAUGAAUUUCAGCCAGUGUCCUUGCUGAUCAAUCCUUAUAAGGGAUCUCGGGAGAUGACUAGCUAUCUCAGAAUCUCAGAGACCCUGGGUACCAACGCCAUCCUGACUACACCAGGCAGCAAAUGGACCUAAGAUGUGGCUGGUAACACUGAGGCAUGUGUCCUUUCUACGGUAGUGAUCCAGUGUGCGUCUCUGAGGCUGCUGUGGCCUGGCAACUGAACCAUGUCUGAGAAGCACCAGGCAAAGAGUGUCUGGGCCCUUUCCUGCCCAGAAAAGGUACACCACCACCACGACUCUCCAUGACCCGUGUCUUGAGGAUAGGAAUCAGUGCCCUCAGGUUCUCACAAAGAGCAUGCGCGGUGAGGUUUUCACAAAGAGCAUGCGCAUCUGUAAGAAUAUUGUAAGAAUGGGAAGAUUCCCACCUUUACACUCUUGGAUGAGUCAAGUCACAAGCAUAAACAGGGACAGGCAGGCCAAGCUAAGUACUUCCUACAACCACUGGACACGCAGUACAUGUUUCCUGGCAUCUUGGAGCUUCUGGGAUCUUUUUCUCUUUUCUUUGCAACAGGGUCUCACAUAUCAACAGCCCAGCCUUACACUUGCCUUGUCUGCGCAGCCAAGAUCCCAUCUCACAAUGGCUCGUCUACCCCAAGUUCAAAAGGACCACUUUGGUUUGGAGAGGAAUCACUCCCUAAGAGUUGGUGUGUUGAAGGUCUCCCAGCAGUGCUCAGAAAUGGGGAUUGGAAGAAGUAGCCGGAUCAUGGGGGUCUCUGACUUCAUCAACAUUAACCCACCAAUGGAUUCUUAAUGGAAAGACAUUAUGGGGCAUUGGUGGGAACAUUAGGAGGUGGAGCCUGGUUAGAGAAGGAAGGUCAUUAGGUGUAUGCCUUUGAAAGGUGUUUUCUUGUCCCCGCCCCUGUCCGGACAGUCACCCUCCAUACAGCCCAGGUGCCUUGGGGCACAUGCACAGGACACAGGGUAAUUCUUCCUUUCCUUAGAUCCAGCUGACCCAGGACCAACGUCAAGACAGGGUUUCUCUGUAUACCCCUGGUUAUCCUGCAACUCGCUCUCUGUAGACCAGGCUGGUCUCAAUCCUCUUGGCUCUGCCUCCCAAGUGCUGGGAUUAAGGACAUUCACCACCACUACCUAUUAAAUCCAGUCUCUUUGAAGUCUCCCCCUACCCCCCCCCCGCCCCCAUAUCUGUCAUGAAAAGUCCACUGUAAAAACAAACGGUAAUUUCACAUUCUGAUCCACGUGUCCCUGUUUGUUUUUGCGUGGUGCAGGGAUGGAACACAAGGCCUCUGUGACUGAGCCACAUCAGUUCUUCAUUUUUAGUUUAGAAUAAUUUCACUGUCUUCCAAACCUUUUAGUAAAACUGUCCGUGUGAGAGCAGGUUCCACGCUGACUCCGGGUCUCCCCCGUGCUAUAGAGACCGUGUGGGACAUUCUAACAGCCUCUGGCAGGCUGUCUUUACUCGGCCAGUUUGCUCUGCCAGAAAUAUUCCCGCAGCCCACUCUGCCAGGGAUUCAAGUGGGAAAGGGCGGGGUUGGGGGGAUGGCCACCUGUGCCCUGUACAGAUUGUGACUAAGGCAUCAGAUCUGUCCCCGGUGUUCAAUGAAGGCAGACAGCAGAUCAGGCAUCAGUCUGAAGGCCAAAGGGGACUCAGGCAUCCCACUGCACAGCCACGCUCGAGCCGCUGGUUACUGGCCAUGUGAGCACAAUCACUAACCUCACACAGCCAAGGCCACCCCGGCCUGAGACUCAGCCUGGCCAUCACAGAGCCACUCCUGCACUUGCCUGUCAGUGUAUGGCUCUUUCAACCCUAAACUGGUAGCCUAAUUUUAAAAGUUCAGCCAUUCUAAGAUUUUUUUAAAACUUCAGCAUGGUGGCACAGGCCUAAAAUCUGGAAUCUGGAGAGGUGGACACAGGAGAAGCUUGAGUCCCAGGUCAGCCGGGGACACAAAGUGAGACUCCUUUCUCAACAACACGAGACAAAACAAAAACAAAACACAGGGAAUGUGUCUCAGUUGGCAGAGUGCUUGCCCAUACGUGAGACCUGGGUGUGGUAGCAACAUUUGCAAUCCCAGCGCUGGGGAGGCAGAGGCAGGAGGAUCCUCACUACUUCAAGGCUGGGCUACAGAGUGAUU